rnacentral:rRNA from 1 species
CCUACGGGGGGCAGCAGUGGGGAAUAUUGCACAAUGGGGGAAACCCUGAUGCAGCGACGCCGCGUGAGCGAGGAAGUAUUUCGGUAUUUAAAGCUCUAUCAGCAGGGACGAAAAAAGACGGUACCUGACUAAGAAGCCCCGGCUAACUACGUGCCAGCAGCCGCGGUAAUACGUAGGGGGCAAGCGUUAUCCGGAUUUACUGGGGGUAAAGGGAGCGUAGACGGCAAGGCAAGCCAGAAGUGAAAGGGCAGGGAUCAACCCUGUACAUGCUUUUGGAACUGUGGUGCUAGAGUGCAGGAGAGGUAAGUGGAAUUCCUGGUGUAGCGGUGAAAUGCGUAGAUAUUAGGAAGAACACCAGUGGCGAAGGCGGCUUACUGGACUGUAACUGACGUUGAGGCUCGAAAGCGUGGGGAGCAAACAGGAUUAGAUACCCGGGUAGUC